rnacentral:rRNA from 1 species
CGCGGCCUAUCAGCUUGUUGGUGGGGUAAUGGCCUACCAAGGCGACGACGGGUAGCCGGCCUGAGGGGGCGACCGGCCACACUGGGACCGAGACACGGCCCAGACUCCUACGGGAGGCAGCAGUGGGGAAUAUUGCACAAUGGGCGAAAGCCUGAUGCAGCGACGCCGCGUGAGGGACGACGGCCUUCGGGUUGUAAACCUCUUUCAGUAGGGAACAAGGCAUCAUUUUUGUGGUGUUGAGGGUACUUGCAGAAGAAGCACCGGCUAACUACGUGCCAGCAGCCGCGGUAAUACGUAGGGUGCAAGCGUUAUCCGGAAUUAUUGGGCGUAAAGAGCUCGUAGGCGGUUUGUCGCGUCUGUCGUGAAAGUCCGGGGCUCAACUCCGGAUCUGCGGUGGGUACGGGCAGACUAGAGUGAUGUAGGGGAGACUGGAAUUCCUGGUGUAGCGGUGGAAUGCGCAGAUAUCAGGAGGAACACCGAUGGCGAAGGCAGGUCUCUGGGCAUUAACUGACGCUGAGGAGCGAAAGCAUGGGGAGCGAACAGGAUUAGAUACCCUGGUAGUCCAUGCCGUAAACGUUGGGCACUAGGUGUGGGGGACAUUCCACGUUUUCCACGCCGUAGCUAACGCAUUAAGUGCCCCGCCUGGGGAGUACGG